UACGGAGGGUGCAAGCGUUAAUCGGAAUUACUGGGCGUAAAGGGUGCGUAGGCGGUUGCUUAAGUCUGUUGUGAAAUCCCCGGGCUCAACCUGGGAAUGGCAAUGGAUACUGGGCAGCUAGAGUGUGUCAGAGGAUGGUGGAAUUCCCGGUGUAGCGGUGAAAUGCGUAGAGAUCGGGAGGAACAUCAGUGGCGAAGGCGGCCAUCUGGGACAACACUGACGCUGAAGCACGAAAGCGUGGGGAGCAAACAGGG
rnacentral:rRNA from 1 species